UCCACUGAAUAUAUAAAGUUGAGCUAUGACUUAGCAAGAGACUUUGUUCUGAUGUAAUGAUGCUAAUUUUAAACUUUAAACAGCUUGAAAAGUGAGAUGAAUGUCUGAAAUGAAAAUCUCAACUGAUUCAAAGAUAAAGAAUAUAAAAUCAGUAGUUUUAGGAAGGAGCCACAUUAGCCUUCCUCUCUGCAGACCAACUUCCAUUCCAAGAAUAAUUUUCAUCUCUGUCAAAAGCAGGUGGAUUUAUAUUCCCUAAAACAAUUCCUUAUAUGUCGGAAGUGCCCAAUCUAUUUUUGAGUGGAAGACUGAAUCAAUAAGCUUUGAGGUGGUAAAUAUCAUUCCAUGAUCCCACCCCUGUGUUGGCAAGAGGGAAGCAAGGGGCACUGCUCGGGACGUCUCAACACGAGGCCGGGGUGCAGUUGAAUACAUAUAGUUGAAGAGUCUGUCAAUUUUCCUCAAAGGAACACCACCUCCUCGGUCACUCAUCUAAGCCAAAGACAUAAUAAACUGGAACCAGAUUUUUAAAGUGGUCGAAAGAGUUUCUAACAGAAUUUAACAGAUGAUAUUAUGCCAGAAGAUUUGAAUUCUUUGAAAAAAGGGGAAAAGGGAUUAAUGGCAGAGAGGGACAGACAGUUGGUCUGUACAUAUUUAAGAAGAAUGGCAAUCUGAUGAGAAAUAUGUUGAGAAAGAUAUGUGAAAAUUAAACUUCUGAUCAAGAUAAUUUGAAGAAAAAAUCGAGAAUCAUCAGAAGAAGCCUAUGCCA